UUGUGUGGGUUUCCGGUAAUUAGCUUUGUAUAGGGUGAACCGUCCAGCCGUAGAUAAUUAUUUGAAAAUCCAAGCACGUGAAUUGCUCUUUUUAAACCAAACCAAGUUUAAAUUUCUAGUCCUGUGAUGUUGAAUUGCUCAUAAACGUGUUAUGCUGUCAUAAAAAUUCAUCCUUGUUUUACUUUUAGUGAACUCAAUCAAUUCACUUCAGAUUUUAUACUUUUCUCCGGGUCCAGUUUUUAUCAGAUUAUAUGCUAUAUCGUAUAUGUCACUGAAACGAUAGCAGCUGCAAUGCACUUGAUGGUCAAGAAAACUGCAUAUUGGCACUAGUUUUUUGACUUGCGUCUCUGAAUGGCAGUGUCUUUACGACCGGAACUUUUUGAGGGAAUGCGCUUUGAUUUUUUCAAGGGACUCGACCACAAGUUCUCCCUUAGCUGCAGGUUUUUGUUUUCUACUCUCUCAACUUUUGUUUUUGCAUUCCUUCCUCAUCAGUCCUUUCUAUUCUUCUGCUUAUUUCGCUGACUGUUUUUGCAUUGGGAGGGUAUUAACAGACGGGAGACUUAAUGCAAGAGUCAAGUAUGACUUGACUAACAACCUCACUCUCAAGGCUAAUGCUCAGCUCGCAAAUGAGCCGCACAUGUCUAAUGCCAUGGUCAAUUUGGACUACAAGGGUUCAGACUG